CUGUAAUCAAAGCAGUGAUUUGUAUUGAACACUGCAUACUCUUUGUACUGAAAAUGACAUAUCUGUUGCCUAUUUUAGACUAGCUCAUACCUUGAAAGAAGCUACAAUCCCUUACUGAACUAUCAGGGGUGUGAGGGAAACAAGUCAAAGGAGGUAUUAUUGGAUUAUUCGCUCUUCUAGGACAGAACCUGUUUGUAUAAUCAGAGAUAUGCCUUAAGUGGUCUUUAAAGAAAGUCAGAUUUUUGUUUAAAAAAGGGGAAGGAGGAGGCUUCAUUAACUAGACUGACAGGCUCCAUAGAUUUCUCAAGUGUUUAAAUUAAGGAUUGUGAGUUCUUGAAACUUGACAAGGAAAGCAGGAUUGUCACCGCUGGCUGCCUGAACCAGAGUGUUAUAGUCAUUGUCAAAAGACGGGCUGCAGAACCAUAGAAGACAACAUUCUUGCCUUCAGUGUAUCAUCAGAGGAAUCUUGAACAAAAGAGAACAAAAUACUUUUAUGAUAUCUGAACUUCAGAAGACUCAAAGGUCAUGUCCAGCUCACUUAUGCUGCCCAACUCCUUUACCUGCAAGGGCAGAGUGAGUGGACAACUGUGUGGUGCUUGGCUGCCUACAGGAAUAAACUACAACAAAUUCAAAUGCUGGAUUACCUUUAAGAGGCCAACACAGCUGAAGUUCCGAAUGGUGUUGUUUAUGCUCUGGGACCAAGCCUUGGGACAGGGAGAAGAUGCUUAGAUGAAUAAGAACGGAAAUCCUUAAGAGAAAUAAUAUGAACUGCUUCUGAACUAUCCUACUCAUGCUACUGUUGACAAGUGGGGUGUUGCAAUGAGUUGAGGCUUCCUUUGGAGGCUUCCUCUGUGAUUUUUACCAACAUGGUAGAACCAGGUGGAAGUAAUUUGCAGGCCAGAAACCUGCUGUUAUAUACUUUCUGUGGCUAUGGGCUACAGUAAAAAAACGGUUAAGCAGUUCUGAAAUUGUGCUUUUUAUUUCUUUUUCUUGAGAAUGCUACUUUAGGACUGACAUCAAACUGCAUUGCUUAGGAAGCAAGGAAGAAUUUUUUGAGGCUACCUAAAGGCAUUUUAAGUAAUAGGCAUUUAACUGUCAUUCAUCUUCCUAACACUUUGAAUUUUAAAAAGGGUUUUCCUCUAAUAAUUUGACAUUUCUUCCCCUUUCUAAUGAUAACCAUUGUACAGUAGAGCUUUCUUUAAUAAGGCUUAGCACUGUACAGUUUUGUGUCCACUGACUCUUCUAUUUCUGGAUUAUUUUGAUCGUAUUCAGCUUUUGUGAUUUCAGCAAGAGGGUGAUAGAACAGUAUCUUUGAAAUAAAGAUCUUAGUUCACAUGUGGAUGUAGAACUGGAUGGCAUUCAGGCAACAGACUACUUUUACAAGGGGGCAGUGAAAAAAAUCAAGUGUCAUUCAGAAAGUGCUGCAAGAAUAGUCAAGAGGCGGAGGAAGAACUUGGAGAAGACACUGGAAAAGAAAAGCAAGGAUUUAGUGCUUUCAGGGAAAAUGGGCAAGCUGAACUAGUCAGAGAAGCAGGAAGAACCAAUGAGAGAAACAGGUUAAAGGUAUACCAUUAAAGUCAGAUUACCUUAUCAAGAGACACAAUUAUUUAAAAUAAAAUGGACUCUAGACUGUUUCAACUCCUGUACUGAAUAAAAAUAGGAAAGUGGAAGAUAAGGGAAGAUAGCCCAAGCACAGAUCCAGGUUGGGCAGAGAAUGUCUUGAGAGCAGCCCCGAGGAGAAGGAUUUGGGAGUGUUGGUUGAUGAAAUAUUCAACAUGAGCCAUCAAUGUGUGCUUGCAGCCCAGAAGGCCAACUGCAUCCUGUGUUGCAUCAAGAGAAAUGUGAGUAACAGGACGAGGGAGGUGAUUUUGCCCCUCUAUUCUGCUCUCAUGAGACCUCACCUGGAUUACCGCAUCCAGUUCUGAUGCCCCCAACACAAGAAGCAUGUCAAGCUGUUGGAGAAGGUCCAGAGAGGGGUCAUGAAGAUGAUCAGAGGACUGGAGUACCUCCUUUAUGAGAGCAGGGGCUUUUAUGAGAGUUGGGGCUUUUCAGCUUGGAGAACAGAAGGCUCUAGGGGGACCUCACAGUGGUUUUCCAGUACCUGAAGGGGGCCUACAGGAAGGCUGGGAAUGGACUUUUCAUAAGGGCAUGUAGUGACAGGACAAGGGGAAAUAGCUUUAAACUGGAAGAGGGCAGAUUCUGACUGGAUAUUCAGAAGAAAUUCUUUACUGUGAGGGUGGUGAGAUACAGGAACAGGUUGCCCAGGGAGGUUGAGAAUACCCCCUCCCUGGAAGUAUUCAAGGCCAGGCUGGAUGGGGCUUUCAGAAACUCGAUCUAGAGGGAGAUGUCCCUGCCUAUAGCAGAG
ensembl:lncRNA